AAAAUUAAGGGUCUCCGUUGGUGACCAGCGGAGGGACAUUA
rnacentral:rRNA from 1 species